GAGUUACGAAGGGAGAAUGGUUAAUAAUUGCAGUCAUAAGAUUCACGAUGGGAGAGAGUGCACAUAAGCAGCCAAAAGUGUUCAGAGAUCUUGGAAAAUAACCUGUCACGCAAGCGUGAACCCUGCCUUUGGUUUAAAUGACCUUUUACCAAAGACCAAAGAUGAGCUUGUUCAUUUGUUUUUUUUUUAAUGUCAAACUAAUUGAAAAGAAAAUAAACUGAUUUGUACAAAAAGAGUUGCUUAAACGUAAUUCAGAUUAGGAAAAAUAAAAUCCCAAAACAUUUCUAUCCCCUUGUAGCUAACCAUAGUUGCAUACUUCCUUUUUUUUUUUUGAAAAGGCUUUCGAGUU
rnacentral:lncRNA from 1 species